AUGAUUGAUGAUCUCAUAGAAAAGAUUGUGAAGAAUAAGAGCACUGACGAUGACUUUAUUCGGAUGACAUUUCUAGUUCUCUUAGGAACUAUAAUUGCACCAGUGUCUCAUGAAUACGUUCCGAAGAAAUACUAUGCCUUAGUGCAAAAUAUUAAGUUGAUAAGGAAGUUCAACUGGAAUGCAUUCACUUCGCGAUUCUGUUUGUCGGAGAUUGGUAAGCUUCUGCAGGACGGCCAUGUUAGGCAGUGGCCCCAGGGGAACCUCGCCCUUUUGCAAUACCUAUACUGGGAGAAGGUGCGACCAAUCACCGGUCCAAAAUAUGAUCCGUUGGCAUUGUUGAGCCCGCUGAUGAGGAACUGGACGGAAGAUAUGGCUGUGAGAAGAGACAAAUACGACUAUGAAUAUGGUCGUGGUGUUGGGAUGAUCCAUGACAACAUUACAGAGGAGUACAGGCUGAAAAAAAUUGCAGAAGAAGAAGCUCAAAAAACCAAGAAAGCUAGUAGCAAAAAAUCUAACGUUACUGGAACGAGGAAAGAGGGCAGUACCUCGGAGGCUUCGAGCCAGAAGCCUACUAUGGACCGGAUUUGA
rnacentral:rRNA from 1 species